ACGGGUGCGUAACGCGUGGGAAUCUGCCCUUAGGUUCGGAAUAACAGCUGGAAACGGCUGCUAAUACCGGAUGAUGACGAAAGUCCAAAGAUUUAUUGCCUGAGGAUGAGCCCGCGUUGGAUUAGGUAGUUGGUGGGGUAAAGGCCUACCAAGCCGACGAUCCAUAGCUGGUCUGAGAGGAUGAUCAGCCACACUGGGACUGAGACACGGCCCAGACUCCUACGGGAGGCAGCAGUGGGGAAUAUUGGACAAUGGGCGAAAGCCUGAUCCAGCAAUGCCGCGUGAGUGAUGAAGGCCCUAGGGUUGUAAAGCUUUUUUACCCGGGAAGAUAAUGACUGUACCGGGAGAAUAAGCCCCGGCUAACUCCGUGCCAGCAGCCGCGGUAAUACGGAGGGGGCUAGCGUUGUUCGGAAUUACUGGGCGUAAAGCGCACGUAGGCGGCUUUGUAAGUCAGAGGUGAAAGCCUGGAGCUCAACUCCAGAACUGCCUUUGAGACUGCAUCGCUUGAAUCCAGGAGAGGUCAGUGGAAUUCCGAGUGUAGAGGUGAAAUUCGUAGA
rnacentral:rRNA from 1 species